UGGUCUAGUGGUUAAGGCACCAGGCUAGAAAGCAGGAGAUUGUGGGUUCAAAUUCCAC
rnacentral:tRNA from 1 species